GAAAGAUCCUACACAGACCUUAGAUCAAUCUCAAUUCAUACAAAAUCUCCAGAUAAUGCCAAAUAUGAGUCUGUAAUUGAGGCAAGAGGAGGGUUUUCAGCGCUUUCCACCUCCUCCUCCAAGCUUGGGGCCCUUUGGUGCAGCCCCUUUAGGCACACCCUUGCUCUGAGUUUUCUGCGUCUUGGCCAUUACCUCAGCCUUCUUGGCUUUCUUUUCAUCCUUGGUUUUCUUGAUCCUCUCUUUAAUUUCACUGCAGGUUACAGAAUAAUGCAAUUCAGAAUGGAAAAUUUCGCCCACUGCUAAGUGCUAACAAUAGGUAUUUGGGAGACCCAGCAAAUUUAGAAAGUUCAAGGAAUGAUACCCACCGGAGAGCAGCCUCCCUAGCAGCAUCUCGAACUUCAGGUUUCUCGGUUCUUCUCUUCUGUAUAACCUCCAAUGUGGCACCCACUAUGGACCUUGAGUAUGGCUUCUUUGCGGUGCGGCGCUUCUUCUUAAC
rnacentral:lncRNA from 1 species